rnacentral:rRNA from 1 species
GGGUUGUGAGGUUAAGUGACUAAGCGUACACGGUGGAUGCCUAGGCAGUCAGAGGCGAUGAAGGACGUGCUAAUCUGCGAUAAGCGUCGGUGAGCUGAUAUGAAGCAUUAUUAGCCGGCGAUGUCCGAAUGGGGAAACCCAGUGCAAUUCGUUGCACUAUCGUUAAGUGAAUACAUAGCUUAACGAGGCGAACCAGGGGAACUGAAACAUCUAAGUACCCUGAGGAAAAGAAAUCAACCGAGAUUCCCCUAGUAGCGGCGAGCGAACGGGGAAGAGCCCAGAACCUGAAUCAGUUUGUGCAUUAGUGGAAGCGUCUGGAAAGUCGCGCGAUACCGGGUGAUAGCCCCGUACACGAAGGUGCACAGCUGUGAGUUCGAUGAGUAGGGCGGGACACGUGUUAUCCUGUCUGAAUAUGGGGGGACCAUCCUCCAAGGCUAAAUACUCCUGACUGACCGAUAGUGAACCAGUACCGUGAGGGAAAGGCGAAAAGAACCCCGGCGAGGGGAGUGAAAUAGAACCUGAAACCGUGUACGUACAAGCAGUGGGAGCAUCCUUCGGGGUGUGACUGCGUACCUUUUGUAUAAUGGGUCAGCGACUUAUAUUUUGUAGCAAGGUUAACCGAAUAGGGGAGCCGUAGGGAAACCGAGUCUUAACUGGGCGUCUAGUUGCAAGGUAUAGACCCGAAACCCGGUGAUCUAGCCAUGGGCAGGUUGAAGGUUGGGUAACACUAACUGGAGGACCGAACCGACUAAUGUUGAAAAAUUAGCGGAUGACUUGUGGCUGGGGGUGAAAGGCCAAUCAAACCGGGAGAUAGCUGGUUCUCCCCGAAAGCUAUUUAGGUAGCGCCUCGUGAAUUCAUCUUCGGGGGUAGAGCACUGUUUCGGCUAGGGGGUCAUCCCGACUUACCAACCCGAUGCAAACUACGAAUACCGAAGAAUGUUAUCACGGGAGACACACGGCGGGUGCUAACGUCCGUCGUGAAGAGGGAAACAACCCAGACCGCCAGCUAAGGUCCCAAAGUCAUGGUUAAGUGGGAAACGAUGUGGGAAGGCAUAGACAGCCAGGAUGUUGGCUUAGAAGCAGCCAUCAUUUAAAGAAAGCGUAAUAGCUCACUGGUCGAGUCGGCCUGCGCGGAAGAUGUAACGGGGCUAAACCAUGCACCGAAGCUGCGGCAGCGACACUAUGUGUUGUUGGGUAGGGGAGCGUUCUGUAAGCCUGUGAAGGUGGCCUGUGAGGGCUGCUGGAGGUAUCAGAAGUGCGAAUGCUGACAUAAGUAACGAUAAAGCGGGUGAAAAGCCCGCUCGCCGGAAGACCAAGGGUUCCUGUCCAACGUUAAUCGGGGCAGGGUAAGUCGACCCCUAAGGCGAGGCCGAAAGGCGUAGUCGAUGGGAAACAGGUUAAUAUUCCUGUACUUGGUGUUAUUGCGAAGGGGGGACGGAGAAGGCUAGACCGGCCGGGCGACGGUUGUCCCGGUUUAAGCGUGUAGGUGUGAUGACCUGGCAAAUCCGGUUAUCUUUAACACUGAGGCGUGAUGACGAGGCACUACGGUGCUGAAGUGGUUAAUGCCCUGCUUCCAGGAAAAGCCUCUAAGCUCUAGAUAACACUGAAUCGUACCCCAAACCGACACAGGUGGUCAGGUAGAGAAUACCAAGGCGCUUGAGAGAACUCGGGUGAAGGAACUAGGCAAAAUGGUGCCGUAACUUCGGGAGAAGGCACGCUGGCAUGUAGGUGAAGUCCCUCGCGGAUGGAGCUGAAGCCAGUCGAAGAUACCAGCUGGCUGCAACUGUUUAAUAAAAACACAGCACUCUGCAAACACGAAAGUGGACGUAUAGGGUGUGACGCCUGCCCGGUGCUGGAAGGUUAAUUGAUGGGGUCAGCCGCAAGGCGAAGCUCUUGAUCGAAGCCCCAGUAAACGGCGGCCGUAACUAUAACGGUCCUAAGGUAGCGAAAUUCCUUGUCGGGUAAGUUCCGACCUGCACGAAUGGCGUAAUGAUGGCCAGGCUGUCUCCACCCGAGACUCAGUGAAAUUGAACUCGCUGUGAAGAUGCAGUGUACCCGCGGCAAGACGGAAAGACCCCGUGAACCUUUACUAUAGCUUGACACUGAACAUUGAACCUUGAUGUGUAGGAUAGGUGGGAGGCUUUGAAGUGUGGACGCCAGUCUGCAUGGAGCCGACCUUGAAAUACCACCCUUUAAUGUUUGAUGUUCUAACCUGGUCCCGUAAUCCGGGAUAGGGACAGUGUCUGGUGGGUAGUUUGACUGGGGCGGUCUCCUCCCAAAGAGUAACGGAGGAGCACGAAGGUUAGCUAAUCCUGGUCGGACAUCAGGAGGUUAGUGCAAAGGCAUAAGCUAGCUUGACUGCGAGAGUGACGGCUCGAGCAGGUGCGAAAGCAGGUCUUAGUGAUCCGGUGGUUCUGAAUGGAAGGGCCAUCGCUCAACGGAUAAAAGGUACUCCGGGGAUAACAGGCUGAUACCGCCCAAGAGUUCAUAUCGACGGCGGUGUUUGGCACCUCGAUGUCGGCUCAUCACAUCCUGGGGCUGAAGUAGGUCCCAAGGGUAUGGCUGUUCGCCAUUUAAAGUGGUACGCGAGCUGGGUUUAGAACGUCGUGAGACAGUUCGGUCCCUAUCUGCCGUGGGCGUUGGAAGAUUGAGAGGGGCUGCUCCUAGUACGAGAGGACCGGAGUGGACGCACCGCUGGUGUUCGGGUUGUGAUGCCAAUUGCAUUGCCCGGUAGCUACGUGCGGAAGAGAUAAGCGCUGAAAGCAUCUAAGCGCGAAACUUGCCUCGAGAUGAGUCUUCCCUUGGACCUUGAGUCCACUAAAGGAACGUUUGAGACUAAGACGUUGAUAGGCUGGGUGUGUAAGCGUAGCGAUACGUUGAGCUAACCAGUACUAAUGAUCCGUGAGGCUUAACCUUACAACACCGAAGGUGUUUUAG